rnacentral:lncRNA from 1 species
AUGAGAGGAAAGACCUUAACACUUAGAGGCUUGCAAAGGGAAUGGAGUUUUAAUCUGAAGUGUAUGGAGGUUUGGGCCUUGUUUGUAUCACCUGCCCCAAGGCAUAUGCCUAUGCCUUGGCAACUGAACUACCCUUGUGUCUUCGCUGUCUGCAUGGACUUGAGCUGAGAUUCAGACUCCAGGGACUGGCAUCUCAUGGUAUGAAAAGUGGAAAAUUGGUUGUUUUCUAGGUGCUUUGCCAAAAUGCCAUUUGCCCUCAAAUCUGCUAUUUGUUUAUGGAGAUGAGUAAUCUAUGCUUUCUCAAACAGUAUUAGGUGUUUAUCUUUCAGUAUCAAAGCCCUCCUGAAAGCACCCACCACACCCCAGAACGUCAUGAUGGCUUAGAUAUGCAGCUCAUAUAAUCUGAAACUGAUCUUAAUAAUAAUCUUACUAAACACAAGCUUUGAUAGCUGUUUCAGAUGCCUUAGAGUAUCAGCCAUGCAAGUGAGGCUGUUGAUAUUGCAAAGCGUUUCUGGAAGAACUAUACUCUUCUGGGCUGAUUGUGUCAAGCUGAGUGGGGCACUCUGCAUGCAACACGCAUACGCCGAGAUAUUGUAAGUCAGGAGCCGUAAGUCUCACCCACACAAAAUCUUGUAAUAGAACAAUUAAGUGAAUGUGCCAUGUUUUUAAAAUUGUUGUUGACAGAAAUAUUCUGAGGAAACCAGCUGUCUUUCAAGCUAAAGAGAUAUUAUGUCUUGAUACUGUUUGAGUAAGUAGCUUAAUAGAAUAGAAUGGGUUUAUUUUCCUUGUAUUUUUAAUUCUUCUGAACAUUUGUUUACAUAUUCUGUAAGAGUGGAACCUGGGAUUAUGGCUAGGGACCAGAAGCUUGCAGGUAGAAUGUUAAACAAUAGUUCCACUGAUUCAUCUGGGGGAAAAUCUUUGUCUAUACAAGUGAAAGAACCAAAUUAUUUUAAUCUAAGGAAAAAUAAUAUGAAGGCCUGAAUUCUGUAGCUUUGUGCAGUAUUUUUAGCUGUCUUUCUUCAGCUUUCAGGCAUCCCUGUGUACACAGCUGCAUUCCCUUUCCUCCUUGCACUUUUGGCCAAAUGCUUGGUGGUGUAGUUCGGUAUAAUUCCAUUGAUGUAACUUUGCCGAGUUACCCUGGCUGAAGGUUUCCCUCAGCCUGCCCAGU